GUGUAACGGAGGAGUUCGAAGGUACGCUUGGUACGGUCGGACAUCGUGCUAAUAGUGCAAUGGCAAAAGCGUGCUUAACUGCGAGACCGACAAGUCGAGCAGGUGCGAAAGCAGGACAUAGUGAUCCGGUGGUUCUGUAUGGAAGGGCCAUCGCUCAACGGAUAAAAGGUACUCUGGGGAUAACAGGCUGAUUCCUCCCAAGAGUUCAUAUCGACGGGGGAGUUUGGCACCUCGAUGUCGGCUCAUCACAUCCUGGGGCUGUAGCCGGUCCCAAGGGUAUGGCUGUUCGCCAUUUAAAGUGGUACGUGAGCUGGGUUUAAAACGUCGUGAGACAGUUUGGUCCCUAUCUGCCGUGGGCGUUGGAAGUUUGAAGGGGGCUGCUCCUAGUACGAGAGGACCGGAGUGGACGAACCUCUGGUGUAUCGGUUGUCACGCCAGUGGCAUUGCCGAGUAGCUAAGUUCGGAAGAGAUAACCGCUGAAAGCAUCUAAGCGGGAAACUCGCCUUGAGAUGAGACUUCCCGGGAACUAGAUUCCCCUAAAGGGUCGUUCGAGACCAGGACGUUGAUAGGUCAGGUGUGGAAGCGCAGUAAUGCGUUAAGCUAACUGAUACUAAUUGCCCGUGCGGCUUGUUCCU
rnacentral:rRNA from 1 species